GCGUGAUUCGUCUAGUGGUUAGGAUACUUGCUUCCCAUCUCAUGUGGAUUAGCAAGGGACCCGAGUUCGAAUCUCGGAUUUCGCA